GUGUAUCCAAGGUUUAAAAAUGGUGAAGGAACUGUGAGGGAUGUCAGAGUUAAGCCCAAAUUUGAGUAUGUGGAUGAAUUAUUUGAGAGUGUGUUGCUGUCAAUAAAAGACAAAGACGCAUUAUCAAAUUCACAAAAUUUUUUGAAAGAAAUGUCCCACCACCAAUGAAUGUCAUGCUGCCAAAGCAACCCAGAUCUGAGGUGAUACUAAAACAGGUCCGUUGAAAAUGCAUUGUGGUCAAUGAUGUCCCCCCCUCAAUUCCAGCAGCUACAAGUGUGCCAUUCAGCUGUCAGUCAAAUGUGGCAGUUUCAAAA